rnacentral:rRNA from 1 species
ACACAUGCAGUCGAGCGAGGACUUCGGUCCUAGCGGCGGACGGGUGAGUANCGCGUGGGAACGUGCCCUUCACUACGGAAUAGUCCCGGGAAACUGGGGUGAAUAGCGUAUACGCCCUUCGGGGGAAAGAAUUUCGGUGAAGGAUCGGCCCGCGUCUGAUUAGGUAGUUGGUGGGGUAACGGCCUACCAAGCCUACGAUCAGUAGCUGGUUUGAGAGGAUGAUCAGCCACACUGGGACUGAGACACGGCCCAGACUCCUACGGGAGGCAGCAGUGGGGAAUCUUAGACAAUGGGGGCAACCCUGAUCUAGCCAUGCCGCGUGAGUGACGAAGGCCCUAGGGUCGUAAAGCUCUUUCACCAGGGAAGAUAAUGACGGUACCUGGAGAAGAAACCCCGGCUAACUCCGUGCCAGCAGCCGCGGUAAUACGGAGGGGGUUAGCGUUGUUCGGAAUUACUGGGCGUAAAGCGCGCGUAGGCGGACCGUUAAGUCAGGGGUGAAAUCCCGGGGCUCAACCCCGGAACUGCCCUUGAUACUGGCAGUCUCGAGUACGAGAGAGGUGAGUGGAACUCCGAGUGUAGAGGUGAAAUUCGUAGAUAUUCGGAAGAACACCAGUGGCGAAGGCGGCUCACUGGCUCGAUACUGACGCUGAGGUG